UGAUUGCGAUUGUCCUUCGUGCCUCGUCCUUCUAUAUCGUCGGCAGCUGCAACGAUGCUACGACUAGAUUUAAGAGAAAUUCUAAAAAAAAAACAAAUCCUUUGGAAGCUGCUGCAUGCCGCAGGGGAUGUUGGAGUGCAAUGCCAAAGCUUGACGUGAGCAAGAAGUCGGCCACGCCCCCGCAGGAAUUACAUCCUGACCGCAACAAUAAGGCAUUUGUUGGUGGUGGUGGGGGGUUAGCCAAGCUGUAAUUAGUGUCAAGGUGGACGUUGCGUAUACGCCGCGUGGGUCAAGGGAAAAGCGCAGCGCCUGGGUUAAGCAGCCAAAGCAUGUCACGUUGAUGUUGUAAGUGCCCGGGCGUGUCCGUACAGUUUGCCAGCCCUGGAUUCGUUCUGGAUUCGCGAUGCAUAAUUAAACCAGAUCGCCUCAUUAUAAUUUCCAUUAAAAAGUGCGUUGCCACAAAACAAAAAAAAUGCAGUUCGAGGCGCUGCGCAACACACACUCCUGUUUCCUUCUGGC